rnacentral:rRNA from 1 species
UAGGGAAUCUUGGACAAUGGGGGAAAACCCUGAUCCAGCCAUGCCGCGUGAGUGAAGAAGGCCUUAGGGUCGUAAAACUCUUUCGCCAGGGAAGAUAAUGACGGUACCUGGUAAAGAAACCCCGGCUAACUCUGUGCCAGCAGCCGCGGUAAUACGGAGGGGGUUAGCGUUGUUCGGAAUUACUGGGCGUAAAGCGCACGUAGGCGGGCUGAAAAGUUGGGGUGAAAUCCCGGGGCUCAACCCCGGAACUGCCUUCAAAACUGACAGCCUAGAGUUCGAGAGAGGUGAGUGGAAUUCCGAGUGUAGAGGUGAAAUUCGUAGAUAUUCGGAGGAACACCAGUGGCGAAGGCGGCUCACUGGCUCGAUACUGACGCUGAGGUGCG